rnacentral:rRNA from 1 species
CCUACGGGGGGCAGCAGUGGGGAAUAUUGGACAAUGGGGGGAACCCUGAUCCAGCCAUGCCGCGUGUGUGAAGAAGGCCCUCGGGUUGUAAAGCACUUUCAGUGAGGAAGAACGCCUGGUGGUUAAUACCCAUCAGGAAAGACAUCACUCACAGAAGAAGCACCGGCUAACUCCGUGCCAGCAGCCGCGGUAAUACGGAGGGUGCGAGAGUUAAUCGGAAUUACUGGGCGUAAAGCGCGCGUAGGUGGCUUGAUAAGCCGGUUGUGAAAGCCCCGGGCUCAACCUGGGAACGGCAUCCGGAACUGUCAAGCUAGAGUGCAGGAGAGGAAGGUAGAAUUCCCGGUGUAGCGGUGAAAUGCGUAGAGAUCGGGAGGAAUACCAGUGGCGAAGGCGGCCUUCUGGACUGACACUGACACUGAGGUGCGAAAGCGUGGGUAGCAAACAGGAUUAGAUACCCGUGUAGUC